rnacentral:misc_RNA from 1 species
AACUUUUGACAACGGAUCUCUUGGCUCUCGCAUCGAUGAAGAACGCAGCGAAAUGCGAUAACUAGCGUGAAUCGCAGAACUUUGUGAAUCGUCGAGUCUUUGAACGCACCUUGCGCCCUCUGGUAUUCCGGAGGGUACACCUGUUUGAGUGUCAUUUAACCCCUCAACUUAAGUUUCUUUGGAAAAUUAAGAUUGGACGUUGAGUACUGCAAUAUUUUAUUGCUUAUUCUAAAUUUUUAUGAUUAGUGCAUUAGCUUAUCAUUGUUGUAAAUUCUUCAUGAUUAUGCUGUGUAUUUAACAUUGGCGAUCUUAUGAUUGCUUAAAUAUCAAGACCUCAAAUCAGGUGGGACUACCCGCUGAACUUAAGCAUAUCAAUAAGCGGAGGCU